AACACCCUUUUUUUCCCCAAACUGGCAUCAUAAUGUGUACCAUAGAGGGUUAACAGUGCGUUACUUUUUGUGAACUUUCAACCAGGAGACCAGAAUUUGUGUCCCGUUGUUGGUUUUUGUGCCUAAAUCGAACUGUUUUACAGCAAUAAAGUGAUAAAAACAGCAACCAGGAGAUUUAUAACUGGGAUUGUGACAUAGUGUGCAACGUAGGUUACGUAUGUAACCAUUGUUCUAUGAAUCUGGGUCCAUGUCUUUGUUGGAGACUAGUGUCUUUAUGCAGCAAAAGAAAUCAUGAAAAUGGAUUUCCAUGACCAUUUAUGCCCGUCUUCAAUCCAAAACAAACAAAAAACCGUCCCCCUUUUGUCUCUUAGUAAUAAAUUCUUAUACAUACU